AUUGAACGCUGGCGGCAUGCCUUACACAUGCAAGUCGAACGGCAGCGCGGACUUCGGUCUGGCGGCGAGUGGCGAACGGGUGAGUAACAUAUCGUAACGUGCCCUGGAGUGGGGGAUAACUAGGCGAAAGACUAGCUAAUACCGCAUACGCCCUGAGGGGGAAAGCGGGGGAUCGCAAGACCUCAUGCCCGUGGAGCGGCCCAUAGCUGAUUAGCUAGAUGGUGGGGUAAAGGCUUACCAAGGCGACGAUCAGUAGCUGGUCUGAGAGGACGACCAGCCACACUGGGACUGAGACACGGCCCAGACUCCUACGGGAGGCAGCAGUGGGGAAUUUUGGACAAUGGGGGCAACCCUGAUCCAGCAAUGCCGCGUGAGUGAAGAAGGCCUUCGGGUUGUAAAGCUCUUUUGUCCGGGAAGAAAUCCCAUCCCUGAAUACGGGGUGGGGAUGACGGUACUGGAAGAAUAAGCACCGGCUAACUACGUGCCAGCAGCCGCGGUAAAAC
rnacentral:rRNA from 1 species